AAGACCUUAAGUUAAAAUAAACUUGUAGCCUUCAAAGCUACUUAUAAAGGGCCAAACCUUUAGGCCUUG
rnacentral:tRNA from 1 species